CAACCACAUCAUGUUGAAACACCGAUUCGCUUACAAUCACUGAAGUUAAGCAAUGUCAAGCUUGGUCAGUAUCUAGAUGGGGGACUGCUUGGGAAUACUAUGUGUUGUAAG